UGUUUAUUCUUUUCUUGUUUGCUAAAAGUUGAAUACUAUGUGAGUAGACAGGCUGCCAGAACUUGGACCAGUGGUACUGGAGGUUUGAUUUGUUCUGUGGGAAGAGUUCACCUUCAGAAGGAAAGGAACAGUCAUGAAAAGGAGAAUGAUGGAAAACCUUUGCAGCGAAGAACUUUCAUCUUGACUCCAGUUGAACUGAAGCUGCCUUACAACCUAGAAUAUGAAAUAUUUCUUCUUUUUGUGGAAUCUUGUGAAGGUCUGAAAGUUUGAAUCAACCACCUGAACUCAACUGGAUCUAUGAGCACCUUUAGGUGGUAAGCAGAAAGGCAAUUUUUUAAAAAUACAGAUUUAGGG